CCUACGGGAGGCAGCAGUGAGGAAUAUUGCGCAAUGGGCGAAAGCCUGACGCAGCAACGCCGUGUGAGGGAUGAAGGCUUUCGGGUCGUAAACCUCUGUCGGAAGGGAAGAACGGGCAUUGGUCUAAUAGGCCUUUGUUUUGACGGUACCUUUAGAGGAAGCACCGGCUAACUCCGUGCCAGCAGCCGCGGUAAU
rnacentral:rRNA from 1 species